GGGGUUGUGGCUCAGUGGUAGAGUGCUCACCUAGCACGUGUGUACGAGGCCCUGGGUUCGAUCCUCAGCACCACA
rnacentral:tRNA from 1 species